rnacentral:rRNA from 1 species
GACGAACGCUGGCGGCGUGCUUAACACAUGCAAGUCGAACGGAAAGGCCCUGCUUUUGUGGGGUGCUCGAGUGGCGAACGGGUGAGUAACACGUGAGUAACCUGCCCUUGACUUUGGGAUAACUUCAGGAAACUGGGGCUAAUACCGGAUAGGAGCUCCUGCUGCAUGGUGGGGGUUGGAAAGUUUCGGCGAUUGGGGAUGGACUCGCGGCUUAUCAGCUUGUUGGUGGGGUAGUGGCUUACCAAGGCUUUGACGGGUAGCCGGCCUGAGAGGGUGACCGGCCACAUUGGGACUGAGAUACGGCCCAGACUCCUACGGGAGGCAGCAGUGGGGAAUAUUGCACAAUGGGCGGAAGCCUGAUGCAGCAACGCCGCGUGCGGGAUGACGGCCUUCGGGUUGUAAACCGCUUUCGCCUGUGACGAAGCGUGAGUGACGGUAAUGGGUAAAGAAGCACCGGCUAACUACGUG